CAGUCGAACGGCAGCACGGGAGCAAUCCUGGUGGCGAGUGGCGAACGGGUGAGUAAUAUAUCGGAACGUGCCCAGUAGUGGGGGAUAGCCCGGCGAAAGCCGGAUUAAUACCGCAUACGACCUGAGGGUGAAAGCGGGGGAUCGCAAGACCUCGCGCUAUUGGAGUGGCCGAUAUCAGAUUAGCUAGUUGGUGGGGUAAAGGCCUACCAAGGCUACGAUCUGUAGUUGGUCUGAGAGGACGACCAGCCACACUGGGACUGAGACACGGCCCAGACUCCUACGGGAGGCAGCAGUGGGGAAUUUUGGACAAUGGGCGCAAGCCUGAUCCAGCAAUGCCGCGUGCAGGAAGAAGGCCUUCGGGUUGUAAACUGCUUUUGUCAGGGAAGAAAUCUUCUGGGCUAAUACCCCGGGAGGAUGACGGUACCUGAAGAAUAAGCACCGGCUAACUACGUGCCAGCAGCCGCGGUAAUACGUAGGGUGCGAGCGUUAAUCGGAAUUACUGGGCGUAAAGCGUGCGCAGGCGGUUAUAUAAGACAGAUGUGAAAUCCCCGGGCUCAACCUGGGAACUGCAUUUGUGACUGUAUAGCUAGAGUACGGCAGAGGGGGAUGGAAUUCCGCGUGUAGCAGUGAAAUGCGUAGAUAUGCGGAGGAACACCGAUGGCGAAGGCAAUCCCCUGGGCCUGUACUGACGCUCAUGCACGAAAGCGUGGGGGGCAAACAGGAUUAGAUAC
rnacentral:rRNA from 1 species